rnacentral:rRNA from 1 species
UACGGAGGGGGCUAGCGUUGUUCGGAAUUACUGGGCGUAAAGCGCGCGUAGGCGGCUUUGUAAGUUAGAGGUGAAAGCCCGGAGCUCAACUCCGGAACUGCCUUUAAGACUGCAUCGCUAGAACGUUGGAGAGGUGAGUGGAAUUCCGAGUGUAGAGGUGAAAUUCGUAGAUAUUCGCAAGAACACCAGUGGCGAAGGCGGCUCACUGGCCCGGUACUGACGCUGAGGUGCGAAAGCGUGGGGAGCAAACAGG